rnacentral:rRNA from 1 species
UACGUAGGCAGCGAGCGUUGUUCGGAGUUACUGGGCGUAAAGGGUGCGUAGGCGGUUCCUUAAGUUUGGUGUGAAAUCUCCCGGCUUAACUGGGAGGGUGCGCCGGAUACUGAGGGACUAGAGUGCGGGAGAGGAAAGUGGAAUUCCUGGUGUAGCGGUGAAAUGCGUAGAUAUCAGGAGGAACACCGGUGGUGUAAACGGCUUUCUGGACCGUAACUGACGCUGAGGCACGAAAGCGUGGGUAGCAAACAGG